CCUACGGGUGGCUGCAGUGAGGAAUAUUGGUCAAUGGCCGGAAGGCGGAACCAGCCAAGCCGCGUGAGGGAGGAAGGCGCAGAGCGUCGCAGACCUCUUUUGCCGGGGGACAAAAGGCCGGACGGGUCCGGGUCUGAGGGUACCCGGAGAAAAAGCAUCGGCUAACUCCGUGACAGCAGCCGCGGUAAUACGGAGGAUGCGAGCGUUAUCCGGAUUCAUUGGGUGUAAAGGGUGCGCAGGCGGAUUUUUAAGUCAGCGGUCAAAUCGUGGGGCUCAACCCCAUCCAGCCGUUGAAACUGGGGAUCUAGAGUGUGCGAGAGGUAUGUGGAAUGCGUGGUGUAGCGGUGAAAUGCAUAGAUAUCACGCAGAACCCCGAUUGCGAAGGCAGCAUACCGGUGCACAACUGACGCUCAGGCACGAAAGCGUGGGUAUCGAACAGGAUUAGAUACCCGGGUAGUC
rnacentral:rRNA from 1 species